AUAUUAUUAUUACAUGCUGGGAAAAAGUAUUUGAUAAUUUUUAAACAAAAUAUCAUAAAAAAUGGAAGAAAAGUUUCUAAAACGCCAAUUGCUGAUAGAUGGUGAUAACAAGUUUCUUUAUGUCGUUUAUGAAACAUCUGUAAUAGUAGAUCCAAAAAUACAAAGGUUGAAAGAAGGAGAUCACGUAAUCUUUCGUUGGCCAGAAUCAGCAAAAGCUCCAAUAAUUUAUAAAGGGAAAAUAUUAAUCAACCAAAGAAUAUGAAUUGCAAAACUUGGUUUCAAAAAUAAAAAAACAGAGGACUAUAGAAAAUAAGAAACGAAACUCACAAUCAGAUGAUUCCAAAAACAAUGAGAAAAAGCGCUGUAAAAGUACGACGGAAAUAACAAAGAAAUUGACAGAAUCGGAAAAAAUUGGUGAAAAAUUGGAGGAUAAAGUAAGAAUAAAAAUUUUAUUUCACGCAUUCAUGCUAACAAGAUCUUAAGUUUAAAACGAGAAUCAAAUUUCUUAUGCGCUGAUGAGUAAUUUAAAAUAACAGAAGAAAUUAAAGCCAAGAAAAUUAAGGACAAUCUUAAAAAAAGAACAUUAAUAGAUAAAUUUAUGGAUAUUCGUUAUGCCGCCUUUUCCCUGUUGGAUAAAAUUGAUGCUUUGAAAAAUGAUAUUGAAAUGUCAGAGAAAAAAACCACAGAAUCAAUUCCACUGAACUCUGAGUUUGAUGUUUCGAGUUGUAGUUUUAAUGAAAAUGAUACUUCUUAAAUAAUUUAUGAGGUGAAAGAAAAUAUGGAUGAAAAUGACAAGGACGAAAGUUUUGAAAUUAUAAAUUCUGAUAAGGAGAAUGACUCUGAUGAAGACGAAAAUCAAAAUGAUAGAUCAACUCUUUUGUAUCCGACUUACAUUCCUGACUUUACCUGUGAAGUUCAUACCGACUCUAAAAUAUAUUUGUGGAAGAAUCCUUGUUUAAACAAUGCAAAAGAGAAUCAAAUAAUCCCAAUUCAUAUGCCAGAUCUCUCCUGGACUUAAUUUUUACCCAAGAAGCUAUCUUAACACGUACUUUGCAAGGGAAAGGAAAAGGGAAAAAAAUGGGUUUACAUUCAAAAGCUGUGACUGCUUUAUUAAACGCUGUUCAAUCACAAAUUCGAAAGAAAAAUUGGGACAAAGUUGAAAAUGCAACAAUUAAAACAUCAUUAAGAUCAAAAAUUUUCGAAGCAUCAAAAAAAGCUUAAUUAAGU